rnacentral:tmRNA from 1 species
GGGGGCGACCGGUUUCGACGGGGAUCAAUGAAGCGCAGGUGGCAUCCCGAGGUGCUCGCUCCUCGUAAAACUGUGGGCACGGUCAUAGCUGCCGACAACCAGCUAGCUCUGGCGGCCUAACACCCGCCAGCGUCCUCCGCAUCGGGUCAACGGGGUGCGGGUUCGGACGUCAUAUUCCGGGGACUGGCUCCGAACCCCGCUCUUGGGUGAGGGGCGAGACUUUUAGGAGCUGGCCGCCCUGACAACCAGCCGGUUGGAGGGAUGGGUGGCGAGAGCACAAGACAACCGGCUAUGGAUGUAGAUGCCUGUCGCGGAGGGUUUCCGGACGUGGGUUCAAUUCCCACCGCCUCCACCA